rnacentral:rRNA from 1 species
UGGGGAAUCUUGCACAAUGGGGGCAACCCUGAUGCAGCGACGCCGCGUGAGCGAUGAAGCCCUUCGGGGCGUAAAGCUCUUUCGACCGGAACGAUAAUGACGGUACCUGAGGAGGAAGCCACGGCUAACUACGUGCCAGCAGCCGCGGUAAUACGUAGGUGGCAAGCGUUGUCCGGAUUUACUGGGCGUAAAGGGAGCGUAGGCGGACUUUUAAGUGAGAUGUGAAAUACCCGGGCUCAACCUGGGUGCUGCAUUUCAAACUGGAAGUCUAGAGUGCAGGAGAGGAGAGUGGAAUUCCUAGUGUAGCGGUGAAAUGCGUAGAGAUUAGGAGGAACACCAGUGGCGAAGGCGACUCUCUGGACUGUAACUGACGCUGAGGCUCGAAAGCGUGGGGAGCAAACA